CGCCAGCUACCUCAUCAUGAGCAACGACUGGUGGGCGUGGUGCGGAGUGCGGGACGAGGCGACGCCAAUCUAUCACUGCCCCGCUCCCAUCCACAGUCCACAUAGUGCCCAUGAGAGGUCUGCCCACCACGGACCCUAAGUGGCAAGCACCUAACCCUCCAUGGAUUCCUGCCUCAACAUCGAUCAUCGGCUCCUCCUCCACGGUGACCAGUGGCCUCUCCAUGGUGGAUGGCGAAUCAAGUCCAAUCAGUAAUAGGAGCAGCUUCAAGGAUGGUGACAAUAUGGUUACUUGAGGGUGGUAGCAAUUCUGCUGUGAUACUUUGGUGUAGAGUGUGAUUACGCCUAAUAUAAGAAGUGAGGAUGGAGUAUCCCUUUGUCAUGGUCGUCGAACGAUAAUGGAGCUGUGAUCCUUGUAUGUCUGCAUGA